GCAAGACAUUAAACUCGCAAUUUGGCUGGCUGGGAGGCAGCUCUGCUGGAACACAGAUUUUUCUGCAGGAAACAGCAGCUCUGGAGCACAAAUGAACACCUCCUAUGAGGCAUUUAAACUUCAUAAUCCCACUUCCCAACAACAGCUGGGCCUCAAGGCUUCCGCCAGGUGUAAAGCAAGAAAUGAAAGCAAGCUGCUGUUGUAGAGAACUUUGGGGAGUGCAGCAACCUCAGCAUAUCCAUUAAGACCAAAGGCGACGUCACUCGCUGGACUCUUCUUGCUCCCACCCAGUCCUGCUGAUUUGGAGAGGAAUAUCUGGGAGCUGAAGCGAGAAACAGGAAUCUGGCAACAGCAGAGAUGGUUGAAAGACCAAGAUAAACCUUCCUAAGCCAGCAUGGAGGAUCAGUGGGCAUCCACCUGUCUCAAUUGUUGCACUCAUAUUAAUCCCAAGUCAAAGCCAGGCUACACUGCUGCUCAUAUCACCCAGCCACCUCCAGGUGCAGGCACACGGUGUAAAAACCUUCCUUGGUGGAAGUGUGUUUUCCAUUGGACACAGAAUAAACACAUUGUGAGGGAUUCUAAAUGGAAAAAACUUGGACACAGAGGCCAGUCCUUGCUCAUGGCACCCACCGUCCAUAACCCCUGCAAGUGUCUCCCUGAACACUGGAGUGUAAGAACAGCUGAAAAUUAGGAUCCAUCUCAAGUUUACACAGAAUGGAGGAUGAGGGGCCACCUGACUUUGAGGCAAGUCUAAAGAAAUUAAUGCCAUCAUCACAGAGAGAAUGUUGAGCUGUGUCUCCAAACACUGCUGCCACUGUGGGGAUUAAAAAAAAAAAACAAAACAGGAAAACACUGUGAAGGUUACUGCUACCUGAGUGAAAUAAAUAAACAAAGUAUUUAAUGAG